rnacentral:rRNA from 1 species
GGGUCAGUAGGUUGGUCGUGCCACCGGUACGUACUGGUCUCACUGAUUCCUCCUUCCUGAAGAACCGUAAUGCCAUUAAUUUGGUGUUGCGGGGAAACAGGACUGUUACUUUGAAAAAAUUAGACUGUUUAAAGCAAGCUAACGCUUGAAUACAUUAGCAUGGAAUAAUGAAAUAGGACGAUCGAUCCUAUUUUGUUGGCUUCUAGGAUUGACGUA